UUAUCGAGUUUUGAAACGGGUUGUAGCUGGCCUUCCGAGGCAUGUGCACGCCCUGCUCAUCCACUCUACACCUGUGCACUUACUGUGGGUUUCAGGAGCUUCGAAAGCGAGAAAAGGGGCCUUCCCGGCUUUUUUCCUUGCCUAGUUGUUACUGGGCCUACGUUUCACUACCAACACUUAUAAAGUAUCAGAAUGUGUAUUGCGAUGUAACGCAUCUAUAUACAACUUUCAGCAACGGAUCUCUUGGCUCUCGCAUCGAUGAAGAACGCAGCGAAAUGCGAUAAGUAAUGUGAAUUGCAGAAUUCAGUGAAUCAUCGAAUCUUUGAACGCACCUUGCGCUCCUUGGUAUUCCGAGGAGCAUGCCUGUUUGAGUGUCAUGAAAUUCUCAACCUAACGGGUUCUUAACGGGACUUGCUUUAGGCUUGGACUUGGAGGUUCUUGUCGGCUUGCUUCAAUGUCAAGUCGGCUCCUCUUAAAUGCAUUAGCUUGGUUCCUGUGCGGAUCGGCUCACGGUGUGAUAAUUGUCUACGCCGCGACCGUUGAAGCGUUUUUAUAGGCCAGCUUCUAGUCGUCUCUUUACGAGACAAUAAUCAUCGAACUC
rnacentral:rRNA from 1 species